rnacentral:sRNA from 1 species
CUUAUAUGUUAAUUUUGAUUGGUUAUUAUUUUUGGAAAUUAAUAAUGUAUUUCGUUUUUUAAUUAAAUUUAAUUAAUUAAAUUAGUAUUUGACUUAAAGAGAUAAAUUAAUUUACUCUUUAAAUUUUAUUUCUAAUGGCAUACCUAUGUAAUUACUUACAAAAAUUAAGGUUACAUUUAAAAUGUACUUCCCAAAUAAUAUAGUAGGAUGUAGCGGCCUAUACAAUAUAUAGACCUAUUUCGGCCGCAAAUUACUCAAAGCUUCUCUUGUUUUGGUUUAGAUAUAGUCGGUUCUGAGUGCAUACCAUAAGAU